rnacentral:lncRNA from 1 species
UUUUUUUGGCUUUCAUAUGUUUUUUGGACGAACAUGAAACAUACAUAACAGCACAAAAUAUAUAGUUGCACGCGAAAUAUUGCAACAAAAACCUAAAAUUCUUAUCAUUUAUAUGUAUACAUUUUAAACGUUAUUUUCAUAUACGUAUACAUAGUUACACAUUAGUUAGACCGGAAAGUACUGAACUUGCUUCUGACAACUAAACAUUAAGCAAAUUAAGGGACACCCUGGCGAUUGAUGGUGUCAGUAGCAGAAAGCUGAGAAUGAGCAGAGGCAGAUCCACCACCGGAGAGCGUCGGCGCGUCGGUGGAACUAGCAGCACCACGGCCAGGAAUUGGUUGUUGAUGUCCUUGUGUUCCAUACCCUUGUUUCUUGUAAUCCUCCAAAUCCUUAUACUGUGUAUAAGGACUUGUAUCUACAGGCAAACCUUCUAACUUACUCUUGUCUGAUUCUUUAUGAUCUGGUUGCCUCUCCAUUUCUUUUUUCUUCAUAUAUUUUGCACUUCUUCUUUUAUUAUAUCUCUUUCUCUUUAUCUACUCUGUCAAAUCAACUUUGCAUUUGUUUUUGGCCUUUCCAUUGGCUUCCUAGUAAGUUUUCUCUUUGUGGUAUGGUGUUGUUUUCAUGUCAGGAAGUUGGAUGAGGUGUAAGCAUUUCCUGAAUGCAAGGCUACGUCCGUGCUCAGCCAAUUAUAUUUUGCUGCAAAAUUGUUAUUUGGAAUUGUAAAUAGCUCCUUUUAUACAGGGACAAGGUUCAAAUUUACCGGUCUAUUUUCGAAUAUUGUCCACAUCAACCUUUAUUAUACUAUUCACUCAUAUUUACC